CAGCGCGGAACCUGCUUGGGAUUCUCUCUUUCUCCCUCUCUCUGCCCCUCCUCUGCUCGAGCUCUUUCUCUCUCUCUCUUUUUUUUUUUUUUUUUUUUUUUUGAGAGAGAGAAAGAGCACGAGCAGAGGAGGGGCAGAAAGAGAGAGAGAGAGAGGGAGGGACACACAGAAUCCGAAGAGGGCUCCAGGCCCUGUGCUGUCAGCACAGAGCCAGACGUGGGGCUCGAACCCACGACCCUGGAGCUCAGGGCCGGAGCCCAAGUCCGACGCUUAACCGACGGAGCCACCCAGGCGCCCCUCUUCUUAGUGUAUUCUUUAGGAUGUCACGGGAGGGUGAGUAUCUACGGGAGGGGUCCCGGGAAGCAAGGGAAAAACCCCGGCGGACGGGGCUGCCCCGCGCUGCUCGGUCCCCUCCCACUUGGCGCGCCCCCGGCCCCGCCCCGCUCCCAGCACUCCAGCGGCUCGCGCCCGCCCGCGGAAGGAUCCGGGCCACCGGCCUCACCACACACGGCACGCACUCUGAUUGGCUGGCGGAGAGCUGGCCUCACAUCAGCCCAGGCGGCCGCGCGGCGGCGGGGCGGCCUGGGCGCCAGCCAAUCGCAAGACGCUCCGGUGCAUGGGUUGCUCCUCUCAGCCAAUCCAAAAGGAGAGCCGGAAAAGGGCGCGCCCAAUCGGAGCCGGGUAGGUGGGCGGAGUCACCCUUCGACCGUGAAGGCCGACCGCUGUCACCUUGACAACCCUGCGGGUCCCCGGGCGAGUCCGUGGGGUCCGCCGGCUUGUCUCCCCUCCGGCCCGCAAAUGGCCCCCGACUCACAGCCCCCGGCUCCGCUGCCGUGGGGCCGACGGGAGAUUCGCGUGCGAAGCGUCCGGCACACGUUUAUGUUCGCAUUGCUGUAUUCUGAUGUGUGUGCUGGGGCGCCGGCCUGCGAGACUCGGGCACGUGGGGGAUCGGAGGGAACCGGACCAAAUCCAUGGGGAGGAAGCGAACCAAAUCCUCGGAUAACUCACGUGCCUAAUACUCGCUUGCACUCUAAAUGCUUCUUUUAA
rnacentral:lncRNA from 1 species